UACAGAGGGUGCUAGCGUUGUUCGGAAUCAUUGGGCGUAAAGGGCGUGUAGGCGGUUUGUUAAGUCAUGUGUGAAAUCCCUCGGCUCAACCGGGGAACGACGCAUGAAACUGGCAAGCUAGAGUACCAAAGAGGGGGGUGGAAUUCCCGGUGUAGCGGCGAAAUGCGUAGAUAUCGGGAGGAACACCUGUGGCGAAGGCGGGUCUCUGGGCAGUAACUGACGCUGAGGAGCGAAAGCGUGGGGAGCGAACAGG
rnacentral:rRNA from 1 species